rnacentral:rRNA from 1 species
AGUGAACGCUGGCGGUAGGCCUAACACAUGCAAGUCGAACGGCAGCACAGUAAGAGCUUGCUCUUACGGGUGGCGAGUGGCGGACGGGUGAGGAAUACAUCGGAAUCUACUUUUUCGUGGGGGAUAACGUAGGGAAACUUACGCUAAUACCGCAUACGACCUACGGGUGAAAGCAGGGGAUCUUCGGACCUUGCGCGAUUGAAUGAGCCGAUGUCGGAUUAGCUAGUUGGCGGGGUAAGGGCCCACCAAGGCGACGAUCCGUAGCUGGUCUGAGAGGAUUAUCAGCCACACUGGAACUGAGACACGGUCCAGACUCCUACGGGAGGCAGCAGUGGGGAAUAUUGGACAGUGGGCGCAAGCCUGAUCCAGCCAUACCGCGUGGGUGAAGAAGGCCUUCGGGUUGUAAAGCCCUUUUGUUGGGAAAGAAAAGCAGCAGGUUAAGACCCCGCUGUUCUGACGGUACCCAAAGAAUAAGCACCGGCUAACUUCGU